UCAAAGGGUAUGAGCCAUGGCGGCGUGAGGCGCCGUCACCGCCCGCAACAAGGGCUCGCAAAAAAGAAAAUACCCCUUUUUGGCCCUGCCCCGCGCGUCGAAUUAGGUCCCAGUAUUAUCUUUUGCCGGCUUCCGAUUUGGGUUUCGCAUCGUUUACGUCAGGGCGCCACUCAGCGCCAAACGUUGUAACCAUACCUGCUGCGUUUGGGCUCGCUGGAGUAAACGCGUUCUUUGCCUGAUCGCCGACUCGAGAAGUCCGGCUCUUUGGCCGCGUCUCGCGACCAGGCCGUGCGGCCUCACGCCGUAGGUCCCGCGUCCAGCUGCCUCGUCGAAGCUACUACAAACUGGCGACGAGGAUCAACGCUGCCAUGCCGUUUUGCUGCCGCAGACGCCGGUUCCAGCCCGCACGCGGCUAGCGUUUUACUUGUGCAACGUCCAGCUGCGCAGCGCGUUCCGUCUCUAUUCGCGCACUACAAACUGUCGACGAGGUGAGCUGUUCUUGUGCUUAUUGCCUCUGCCGUUCUAUUCCUGCUUCAGACAUGCAAGACGCGGCAACUACGUGUGCUUCUCUGUCCGCAGCAACUUCCCCGCCUUUGUGCUCUGUGGCGGCAUGACGUUUGAACGCCCCCAUACCACCUUUGCUUGCGCUACCCGGUACUCUUUCGGUACCGUGGCUCACGUGGAAAAGUUCUUUUCGCAAGUUUCUCCAGGCGACCGGAUGUGAGGUACUACAAGACGAGAGGAAGAAAGCCAUUUUACUCAGUAACUUAGGCUUCGAGGGCCAGCUUCUCUACUACGACCUGUCGUCGCAAACGGACCUGACAACUGCAACUUUCGAAGAAAUUCUUCGCCUCUUCUACCGGCAUUAUGAGGAAAGCACCAAUCCCCUGGUGCAACGUACUACAUUCAGGGAUAGAAAGCAACAACCCGGGGGAACCCUUCAGGACUUCGUCACCGCGUUACAAAGGCAAGCGCCUGCUUGUGCGUUCAUAGCUUGGCACGACGAGUCCCUUCGCCACCAUAUCUUGCAUGGCGUUGCAUCAGCAAGAAUACGAGAAACUAUGCUGCACGAAGGAUCGUUCCGCACGCUGAAGAAAGACGAGGAAAUUGGACUAAGCGUGGAGUAAGUCCUCAAGGAAUUUCAACUGUUCAACAACUCAUCUGUCCAACGCGUCUUGACGCAACGCCAAGAUGGCGACGACAGCCAUCACCUUCCUCACCCGGGCGCGCAAGAUGGCGGUGCCCGCCAUCCUUCUCCCUCGACCCGGCAGCUUCAAGACGGCGCUCGACGGCAUGGCGGAACGACGCAACCUGGGGAGGCCGGCGAACAUGGCUCCCGGCCCGAACUCCGCGAAGCCAGUCGAGACAUCGCAGUCCAUUGUUACGGAUGUGGUUCACCUCACUACAUCGCAUCCGAUCCAGGCUGUCCGGCCAAGUACGUUACCUGCCGUGCGUGCGGAAAAGUGGGACAUUACGCUCCAGUUUGCUGUUCGAGGAACCGAACACACCGACAGUCUCCUGCUCGAACGCAGCUUGUUUCCGCUCUCGCCGAUACAUAAACGCCCACUACAGUCAUGUCUGUGCUUGCAAUUCAAGCACCGAAUUUCCGUCCGGCAACAGUUUGCGCCGAAGUCCUCAUUGUGAGUACUACACUCAAGUUGCUCGUGGAUACAGGAGUUACGGUGUCGCUGAAGAACAGCUCUCUGUACGAAGAACAUUUAAAGGUUCUUUUUUAUGCGAAGCAUAUUACGAGGGCUCAACCCAGCUCCUCAGGCGCGGCGGUGACCAUGAAAUCACGUGACACCGUGACGUCACGACAGAGGAGAACCGGCGCUCCAACUCCCGCCGUCGCUCGCGGCGUCGCGCCCCGCAUCGGACGCGGUGCGCGUCGAGCAACGCAGCGUUCGGCGCGACAACGAAAUGUGCGCCUGAGCAAGCGCCGCACGCCUGAGCCGACGCCGACGACACCGGCUUUUCUGCGACACGAGCUCCUUAACGCUGUCGCGUUAAAAUAAAGGCUAGUAUGCUUCGCAUCCUGGGCUUAACCUUAGCUAAGCCACAGCCAUUUUUUUUUCCUUAUCUCCUUCGAGUCUUAGACUGAAGAAUUAUUUGCAACAAGAAAUUUUGCAUUCAGCAUAUUUCUCUGUGCUCGUCAAUUACCGCAACAAGGCUGCAGUACUGACAUUUCACGUCACUAACCAAGGCUCCUCUCUUCUGGGCUUAGACGCCAUUCAAGCUUUGGGCAUUGACAUUCAAGGAUCUUGGCUCACACGUCAACAAAUAUCAGGAGUUACAGCUGACCCAAGCGUUCAGCUUUCGUCUCCUCCGCACAACGCUUCAACAGAGUUCGCCCAUCUGUUCUCAGGACAAUUGGGACUUGUAAUGGGCUUUAUUCACGACGUUCAUCUUCGAGCUUCAGUGCAACCAGUCUCAAUGAAACUGGGUCCUCUACCCUUGGUUCUCCGUGAGGAAGUCUCCGCUCAACUGCAACGGCUGGAAUCAGCUGACAUCAUCGAACGAGUAUGGGUGUCUGAGUGGAUUUCUCCGCUCGUCAUGGUUCGGAAGGACAAUACCAUUUGAACUUGCGCCGAUCUUAGAGAACCCAACAACGCUAUCGUCACUGGCGCCUUCUCCAUUACCGAGGGCUGACGAACGGUUGCAUCGACCUGCUGACGCUACUGUCUUCAUUUCUGUUCCGAAUCGUUUACGUCAGGGUGCCACUCUGCGCCAAACGCUGUAAGUAUGCCUGCUGCGUUUCCCCUCGCUGGCGUUAAGGGAUUGCAGGCCCCGCACACAACAAAUAGCCACAGAAGGCGAAAAAAUCGACCGCACGCCGCUGCUAACAAAGCGAGCACAGUAGAAUCACUUCGGGAUGCUUAUGUUAGUUCCAACAUUUCCCGCUAGAGGCACCGUAAUAAGCGCGAUUUCAUUUUACAAACUUUCUCUUACAUUUACCGAAGCAUUUUUAUUACAUAAUAAAUAGGGCAAAAUUAUCAUUGCUAAUUAGACAUUGUACUGUUUGUUAGUAAGAAUAUUGUUUCUCUGACAUUAUAGACGCAAAUAGCGUUCAGCAUCAUCGAUCUUUCACGUGACCUCUGGCCUGAAUUAAAUAUUUUUACCGGUUUUGAGUACACGGCGGAACGGAUUCAUUCGUUCGUACACUCACUGGUUGCUUCUUUGUUGCUAAAACUAGAUUAUUGCGCUUCGAUGUCUCGCCUUAUUUACCUUGGGGUGAAGUGACGUGUUUGCAAGUGGACAUGUAAGACCGAAAGUUCGGUUUCGGUCGUCAGCCAUUCGGAACAAGUUUGCAUCGAAACGGGAGCUGGAAUCUGCUGCGGCUGGCAACGGCAAUAACGGUGAGUCGUUUAACACCGCUGCUUUAAUCAUUAUAUAAUACCCGUCUCAUUAGCUAGCAGGCGAGGACAAGUUAACGAACUAGAUCCUGCAUUACGUAUGGGCAGUCAGGAUCCUCAGUUGCUGUUUUCUAUCUAAACCUUUGCUUGCGAGGCUGUCGUUAUACAGACAAAAUCAGGAAAGAAAGAGCGACAUCGGAACGCGCGUCUCAUUUUUCAUCUAGUAGCCUUAUCAAUAUCUAUAUAAAGCUAUCUUUCGAAUCCGACGGCAACUUCUUUCGUCCACAAAACGGAAUAAUGCUUUGGUAAAAUGAACUGAAAGUACAAAAUUUAAAGUACUGAACAGUUGCAAGCAUGAUAAUUCACCCAUAUUUUGUAUUUGUUGGUUCCAAACGUUCUUGCUGUUCAGUUCGGUUUACCGUAGGACCUUUAUUUUUGCAGUAGUGAAGUGCUGCAUCACGUUCGUACAGGAAAGUAAUGCAUUAGUUUGAAUAGCUUCAUGACUCAUGCAUAUGCUUGUAGAAGCAGCAGUCUGAUCUCUUCUAGUGUAUAAAUGAACGCACAAUUGUUCACAUUUGUGAUCCUUAUAAUAAGUACUUAAGGUGUUACCACGCAUCGUAAUUAGUCAGACAUCAUUUUUAUGGACAACAGCAAUAUUUAACAUGCCUCUUUAGCACCCUAGAAUAGACAGUGUACAUUCGCAUGUGUUCUGUUGUCGCAAACCACUACAACAUAUGUCACACUUUCUUGCAUUUCAUAUGGCAAAAUUGUGCUUUUUCAAUUUCUGAUUCAGUCAAUAUUUCUGUUCCAGGCAUGCAGUAAUGAGGACGGCACCAGUAUAAAGCAACACACCCCACGCACUAAACAGAAGCUGCUGCCUGCUCCAACAAGGCCAUUGUGUAGACGUUGGCUGCUCCUACAAGAGUCUAUGCCAAGCACAUGUUGGUCAUCACAGGAUCCUAUCUACACCAACAGGAAGGGGCUGUAGCCGAAUUUUCAAGGCUUUCACACCACAAACAAAGAAGCGCAUGCAGAAGAAUUCGUAUGAGAUAUCAAGUCUGCAGAGGACUGUGUCAAGAAUGAAAAGAGCUUCAGCCAUCAUUCCACCAGCACGGACAUUUGGCUGAGUCAUCCAGGUAACUCAGAAGGGACUUUCUAGAAAUUCAUCGUCUUCAGAUGCACCUGCAACUUCUGCCCAAGCACGGACGACUCUGGCCAAAAGAGCCGUCAGUUUGCCUUUAAUCAGCUCCCUGGCCAUGACAAUUCGAUUUCUGCGAAGUGUAAUUUUCCUUCUAUAAAUUCAAGGUUUUUCAUUGCCCAUUGUCGUUAGAGAUCAUUGAUCCUCAUCCAAAUGUAAAGGUCAACCGAUUCUUCGCUGACACUUGAUACCAGUCACUAUCUAGUAGCCUAACGUAUCUGUAGUAGUAUCUUGUAGUGUAUGUUGUCAUGCACAAUUCCUCUCCUGAAAUAGCUGAUGCAGCAUCGGCAUGUGUCUCGCAUUAACCUACGCAUCGUGUGCUAUGAAUUAUUUUACUUGAUGUUAUUAGCCUUCAAUGCUUCCAGAGCACAGUGGCUUCUCUCUUGAAUGCAAGCUUUCUCAUUUUCCAUAUUCCUAGUCUCGUUGAUGAUUCCUCUUCUUCCUCAAUAGCCUGGAUCUUAGCUCAAGCUACACUGAAGUGAUCGACUGCAGAAUCUGGUUUUGCUGCCCCACUUGGUUGUGGUAGCCGGGUUACGUUUCUCGGAUGCGGGGGCCUGGUCAGUUGCAUUGGUAAGCAGUCUCUCGAGGUAAACGUUUGCUCCUGCAGUCCGCGCAGCGACACAGACUCCCAGUAUACACACACCGUGACUGGUGCUCCCCGUUCGUUCUUUCCUGCUGCAGCCAUGGGUAAAUUGUGCUUGUUGCCUACCUCGACCAUGAUUUGCUCAAAAUGGAGACCAGCAUAUGUGCUUAUAUGGUUCGAAUUGUGUUGAUAGUCGUAUGGGUGGAAAGGCCCGCAAAAAUGGCUGCCGAAGUUGACGCCCACGAAAGCGACUUGUCCAUAUUGAGACAAAGUGGGACCAGUAACCAGGCUGAUGAUGAUGAUGAAAGCAGUGUGCAGGUUAGAAAGGAGUCCGCUAAAAUGCCGGGUAGUCCAAGUCGCUGUGUAGGCUGCGGCAGCAAAUGCCUGCGUCACCCUAUUGCUUCUUAAUUCAAGUUGCUCAUUUAACGGCGACUGUCGCUGCAAAGAGGUGGGACACUCUGUGCAAUCUGUUUGUACUGCUGGUUGCUGCUCGUUACCAGGCAACCGCAUGCGACGAAGGCAAGCAUUAUGCCUGUAAUUAGGCGGCUGAAUGUAUUUUAAGAGACCCGUGUACGUGAAUGCUCACUGUUGCCAUAUGGUUCGUAGCGAAUGUAUAAUGUAUUUUCUGAACCCUAUGCGGCGAUUGAUUGCUGUUUAAUUUUGCUGUUAUCUGACUUGGUUACGGUCGCUGUGUUAUGCUUUUCGGAUGUAGCAGCCUGCCAUCGGGCUGGAUGGAGCUGGACAGGUUCAAUGCGGAGUUCGCGCUGUUCCAGAUGAGAAGAUUGGUGACGUGCUAAGCACACAUUCACACCCGACGAGACGCUUUAUCCAGACGACGCAUGGAAGGCUCACCCUUCGGAGGCACGCGGUUUUAUGUUGAGGAGAGUCGACGUGCCCGAAGGAAACGGGGUUGUCGGAAGCGAGAACGCACGUCUUCACAGACGUAUCGUUUACGUCGACGUCCGCGCGUUGUGCAUUUAUCGUAAUGAAGCCGGUAGGAACAAUUGAUGCCGUGUGGAAGUUAAGGUUGACGAUGGCCUCGAGCGCACAUUGCUACGAGGUCGUGGCCAUCAAUGGAGCCCUCAACUACCUGAGCACGCAUGAGUGCGCGCUGCUAGUGUUUAUUUAUCCAGACAGCUUAUCGCUGCUCACCGCAGUUUCGCACGGGGAUACCGGUGACACACGAAUCGCGAAGGUAAAGGAAACGCUGGCUCGGCUGCAAAAGUCGAACACCGUACAUCUGUAUCACGCGUCUGCUCACAGAGGCAUCUUCGGCAAUCAGCUGGCGGAUAUGGCAGCAAACGCCGCGUGGACGUCAGAUAUUGACGGACGGUCGCACCGGUCGUUCAGGGUAGUGGUCACCGCGUCUACAGUGGUUUUGCGCGUGCGCUGGGCUAUUGCGUGGCGCGAAGAUCAUAUGGACACCGAGCUGUACAUGUGGGUGCUUGACGUCGCGAACAUACCGCGCGACAUCCCGCCGCCGCGGCAAUUGACGUCUCUCAUUACACCACACAGCCGUUUUCCGUACUAUUUUCACCGAUUCUGCAUUGCGCCGGACCAGAGAUGCCCCUGCGGAGAAAUGUGUAAGGACGUGCAGCACUAUUACGACCAUUGCGCUGUAGCGAAGUGACGCAGCUAUUAGUCUUCAGACGCAUCAGCUCACUAGGGAGACGGCAAUGGGAGGAUGAGCUGCGGCAGGGGCAAGUCCAGGUCCGCAGCUACGAAGACGACGAGAAGUGCCAUUCGAAUAACCGGGUUUAUUAACUUGGCAUUUAGAUUUAUACUCUACACAUCAAAUACUAAACGACGGCGUACCGAUCCUUGACGGCCCGCCUGACGGGCCUUAAAUCCAGAGGUGAAGUGGCCCCGUGUGCUGCUUUCUCCAUGCUCUCCUCAACUACUCAGACCAUUCCUUAACUAAGUUUCUGCAGCAUUCAAGGGACCCGCAGACAGGCGGGAGGAGCUGGCAUCUCCACCAAUGGCCACCACUGGACGCGACAGCCUGCUUGACACAUUCGUACGGUCACGCGCUCUAA